UCUCCCCUUCACUGCACCUGGAAGCCUGGGGGGACUCCAACAGUCUGGGCGCAGAUAUCCAGAGUCCUCCAGACACGCAGAGAGGCCGGUGAGGGCACCCCAGAUCUGCCCAGCUCCUCCUCUGCACACCAAUGGCCAGGCACGGCAGCUAAACAGGCUGGGCUAGGCUGAUAGUGUGGGCCGGCCCACCCGUCGGGAGCUCAGCAGUUCUCCAAGUGUAACCGGAAUGGGAGGCUGAUGUGGAAGCCUCAAACCCACCUCUCCCCUUCACUGCACCUGGAAGCCUGGGGGGACUCCAGCAGUCUGCGAGUACCAGGUCUUGAGACCAUGAUGACAUCAGUGAACAUCUUUUCCCAGGGCUUGCCAGGCCUGAGCAGUACUAUCCAUAUAUACCUGAUAAAUGAGAAAGACUUGCCAACUGAGAAUUAAGACAUUUUCUUAAGGUCUUUGACUGAUGACUAUGGAAAAUCCUAGAUGUCUUGGAAUUUUCAGGUCCCCAGUCAAUUGGAUAGCAUGCAUGCAAAAAGAGGGUAGAUCUUCUCACUCAGUCAACUGAUUCACAGGCCAAAGCCCUCUGGAAACACCUCGAUGGACACACCCAGAAACAAUGUUUACCAUUUCUCUAGAUAAUCAUUACCCAGUCAAGAUGACGGGUAAAAGUAAUGGUCACAUCUUUCUCUUAAUGAAUGAUGUCACUAUCUGAAAUUGGGAUAUGGAUAAAUAAAUUGUGGCAUAUUUCUAUAUGGAAA